rnacentral:rRNA from 1 species
AGUGAACGCUGGCGGUAGGCCUAACACAUGCAAGUCGAACGGCAGCACAGUAAGAGCUUGCUCUUACGGGUGGCGAGUGGCGGACGGGUGAGGAAUACAUCGGAAUCUACUUUUUCGUGGGGGAUAACGUAGGGAAACUUACGCUAAUACCUCAUACGACCUACGGGUGAAUGCAGGGGAUCUUCGGACCUUGCGCGAUUGAAUGAGCCGAUGUCGGAUUAGCUAGUUGGCGGGGUAAAGGCCCACCAAGGCGACGAUCCGUAGCUGGUCUGAGAGGAUGAUCAGCCACACUGGAACUGAGACACGGUCCAGACUCCUACGGGAGGCAGCAGUGGGGAAUAUUGGACAAUGGGCGCAAGCCUGAUCCAGCCAUACCGCGUGGGUGAAGAAGGCCUUCGGGUUGUAAAGCCCUUUUGUUGGGAAAGAAAAGCAGCAGGUUAAUACCCCGCUGUUCUGACGGUACCCAAAGAAUAAGCACCGGCUAACUUCGUG